rnacentral:rRNA from 1 species
AGUGAACGCUGGCGGUAGGCCUAACACAUGCAAGUCGAACGGCAGCACAGUAAGAGCUUGCUCUUACUGGUGGCGAGUGGCGGACGGGUGAGGAAUACAUCGGAAUCUACUUUUUCGUGGGGGAUAACGUAGGGAAACUUACGCUAAUACCUCAUACUACCUACGGGUGAAAUCAGGGGAUCUUCGGACCUUGCGCGAUUGAAUUAGCCGAUGUCGGAUUAGCUAGUUGGCGGGGUAAAGGCCCACCAAGGCGACGAUCCGUAGCUGGUCUGAGAGGAUGAUCAGCCACACUGGAACUGAGACACGGUCCAGACUCCUACGGGAGGCAGCAGUGGGGAAUAUUGGACAAUGGGCGCAAGCCUGAUCCAGCCAUACCGCGUGGGUGAAGAAGGCCUUCGGGUUGUAAAGCCCUUUUGUUAGGAAAGAAAAGCAGCAGGUUAAUACCCCGCUGUUCUGACGGUACCCAAAGAAUAAGCACCGGCUAACUUCGUG